UACGGAGGGGGCGAGCGUUAUUCGGAAUUAUUGGGCGUAAAGAGCUCGUAGGCGGCCUGUUGCGUCCGCUGUGAAAUCCCGGGGCUCAACCCCGGGCCUGCAGUGGAUACGGGCUGGCUAGAGGCAGGCAGGGGAGAACGGAAUUCCUGGUGUAGCGGUGAAAUGCGCAGAUAUCAGGAAGAACACCCGUGGCGAAGGCGGCUCUCUGGGACGGUACUGACGCUGAGACGCGAAAGCGUGGGGAGCGAACAGG
rnacentral:rRNA from 1 species